rnacentral:rRNA from 1 species
CCUACGGGAGGCAGCAGUAACGAAUAUUCCGCAAUGGACGAAAGUCUGACGGAGCAAUGCCGCGUGUGGGAUGAAGCGGCUUCGCCGUGUAAACCACUGUCAGAGAGCAGAAACACUGAUCGCUCUCAGAGGAAGGGGCGGCUAACCCUGUGCCAGCAGCCGCGGUAAUACAGGGGCCCCAAGCGUUAAUCGGAAUUACUGGGCUUAAAGGGUGCGUAGGCGGCUCCGUAAGUGCUCUGUGAAAGCCCUCGGCUCAACCGAGGAACAGCAGGGCAUACUGCGGAGCUUGAGGAAGGUAGAGGCCGUUGGAACGCUCGGUGGAGCGGUGGAAUGCGUAGAGAUCGAGCGGAACGCCAAAAGUGAAGACAGACGGCUGGGCCUUUCCUGACGCUGAGGCACGAAAGCGUGGGGAGCAAACCGGAUUAGAUACCCGGGUAGUCCACGCCCUAAACGAUGUAUGCUAGAUCGGCCAGGCUCUGACGUCUGGCUGGUCGGAGAGAAAUUGUUAAGCAUACCGCCUGGGGAGUACGGUCGCAAGGCUAAAACUCAAAGGAAUUGACGG